AUUGAACGCUGGCGGCAUGCUUUACACAUGCAAGUCGGACGGCAGCGGGGUAGUGCUUGCACUACUGCCGGCGAGUGGCGAACGGGUGAGUAAUAUAUUGGAACGUACCGAGUAAUGGGGGAUAACCAAUCGAAAGAUUGGCUAAUACCGCAUAUGCUCUGAGGAGGAAAGCAGGGGACCUUCGGGCCUUGCGUUAUUCGAGCGGCCAAUAUCUGAUUAGCUAGUUGGUGGGGUAAAGGCCUACCAAGGCGACGAUCAGUAGCGGGUCUGAGAGGAUGAUCCGCCACACUGGGACUGAGACACGGCCCAGACUCCUACGGGAGGCAGCAGUGGGGAAUUUUGGACAAUGGGCGCAAGCCUGAUCCAGCCAUGCCGCGUGUCUGAAGAAGGCCUUCGGGUUGUAAAGGACUUUUGUUAGGGAAGAAAAAGGAGCGGUUAAUACCCGUUUCUGCUGACGGUACCUAAAGAAUAAGCACCGGCUAACUACGUGCCAGCAGCCGCGGUAAUACGUAGGGUGCGAGCGUUAAUCGGAAUUACUGGGCGUAAAGCGAGCGCAGACGGUUACUUAAGCAGGAUGUGAAAUCCCCGGGCUCAACCUGGGAACUGCGUUCUGAACUGGGUAGCUAGAGUAUGUCAGAGGGGGGUAGAAUUCCACGUGUAGCAGUGAAAUGCGUAGAGAUGUGGAGGAAUACCGAUGGCGAAGGCAGCCCCCUGGGAUAAUACUGACGUUCAUGCUCGAAAGCGUGGGUAGCAAACAGG
rnacentral:rRNA from 1 species